rnacentral:rRNA from 1 species
AUUGAACGCUGGCGGCAUGCCUUACACAUGCAAGUCGAACGGCAGCACGGGAGCAAUCCUGGUGGCGAGUGGCGAACGGGUGGGUAAUAUAUCGGAACGUGCCCAGUCGUGGGGGAUAACGUAGCGAAAGCUACGCUAAUACCGCAUACGAUCUAUGGAUGAAAGCGGGGAUCGCAAGACCUCGCGCGAUUGGAGCGGCCGAUAUCAGAUUAGGUAGUUGGUGAGGUAAAGGCUCACCAAGCCGACGAUCUGUAGCUGGUCUGAGAGGACGACCAGCCACACUGGGACUGAGACACGGCCCAGACUCCUACGGGAGGCAGCAGUGGGGAAUUUUGGACAAUGGGCGCAAGCCUGAUCCAGCAAUGCCGCGUGCAGGAUGAAGGCCUUCGGGUUGUAAACUGCUUUUGUACGGAACGAAACGGUGAGCUCUAAUACAGUUUGCUAAUGACGGUACCGUAAGAAUAAGCACCGGCUAACUACGUG